rnacentral:rRNA from 1 species
GAGCAUAAUCAUUAGUUUUUUAAUUGANAACUGGAAUGAAAGGUUAUAUAAAAAAUAAUCUUUAUUUAUUUUAAAGUAUUUGAAUUUGUUUUUUUAGUAAAAAAACUGAAAUAUAUUAAAAAGACGAUAAGACCCUAUAAAGCUUUAUAAUAUAAAAUUUAAUAAUAAAUUAGAAUAUUAAAUAAAUUUUUUUUUUUUUAUUUAAUUGGGGUGAUUUAAAGAUUUAAAAAACUCUUUAAUAAAAAAAAAUCAUAUUUAAAUGUUUUUUGAUCCUUAGUAUUUAAGAAUAAUAAAAUAAGUUACUUUAGGGAUAACAGCGUAAUUUUUUUGAAGAGUUCUAAUCGAUAAAAAAGAUUGCGACCUCGAUGUUGAAUUAAGAUAAAAAUUAGGUGUAGAAGUUUAAUUUUU